GGGCCUCUAGCUCAAUUGGUUAGAGCUGCGGACUUUUAAUCCGUAGGUUGUGGGUUCGAGUCCCACGGGGCCUA
rnacentral:tRNA from 2 species